UACAGAGGGGGCAAGCGUUGUUCGGAAUUACUGGGCGUAAAGGGCGCGUAGGCGGCCUUCUAAGUCGAACGUGAAAUCCCCGGGCUCAACCCGGGAACUGCGUCCGAUACUGGAAGGCUUGAAUCCGGGAGAGGGAUGUGGAAUUCCAGGUGUAGCGGUGAAAUGCGUAGAUAUCGUGAGGAAGACCAGUGGCGAAGGCGGGUCUCUGGACAGUUCCUGACGCUGAGGCGCGAAGGCCAGGGGAGCAAACGGG
rnacentral:rRNA from 1 species